CCGGAUCACGCUUAUGCCACUGAGAGGGAUACCGGCUUCUAUGUUUGUAACCAGUGUACGGCCACCGUUGACACAUCAGAUUUCCUAUCGUUGAUGACAUCCCACCCUAUCAUCCCUCUAUGGUUGUGGGGGGGCGGGGGACAUAGAGAGCAGCUCCAUACUUAUGCCUGGACCUCAUUUUCAAACCGCCGUAUAAGAGGUAGAACCCCCAUGCAGUUCUCUGCGGAGAAACUAACCCAUCCAGCUCGCUGAGGAAUAUCCCUUUUAAUUGAGGCUAAAGCAGCUCCUGUGCCCAGCCGUCCGCCUGCUUGCUCAGUGCUUUUGAUGGCACACACACACAUCUUGACCGGUUAAACCAAAUAACAGCUAAAGCAGUGCGUGGAGUCUGUGGAGAAG
ensembl:lncRNA